ensembl:ncRNA F46C8.11 ncRNA
AAGGAAAAGAAGAAAGAUGAGCUGUCCACUUGCUCUCACUAACUCACCCGGUUUGCAUUGGGUGCCGACAUCAACAUGAGAGCUGCGGCACAUACAAAUUGAGAACGAAGAGCAAAACUCUCCGGGUCCGCGGCAAUCGCUGUCGAUACG